rnacentral:rRNA from 1 species
UACGUAGGGUGCGAGCGUUAAUCGGAAUUACUGGGCGUAAAGCGCACGUAGGCGGCUUUGUAAGUUAGAGGUGAAAGCCCGGGGCUCAACUCCGGAACUGCCUUUAAGACUGCAUCGCUUGAAUCAUGGAGAGGUCAGUGGAAUUCCGAGUGUAGAGGUGAAAUUCGUAGAUAUUCGGAAGAACACCAGUGGCGAAGGCGACUGACUGGACAUGUAUUGACGCUGAGGUGCGAAAGCGUGGGGAGCAAACAGG